rnacentral:lncRNA from 1 species
AUGAUGGCUACAGCCCAGUCCCUUUGUCUGGAGCUGUGGUGGUGCCACAUUGCUGUGACCCCAUUGCACCAGUCAGCACUGCAGGAUCCACUUCCCCAGGGCUGGAUCCUGAUCCCUCUGCCAUAUCAGCCAGGUGAGGAGAAGGACAGACCCCUGCCACCACCAAGGACAGCCCAAAUCUCUCCUGUGCCUCGUCCAAAAAGGCUGCCUGAGGACCCACUGGAAAGUCUAUGGACCUUUUUCCACAGAAAAUUUGUGUAUUGUCAAUACAUAAGUGUAUUGUCCACAGUUACACCAUGGCAGCUGCAGAGGAAAUGGAAGGUUCUCAGGAAUACAUUAGGGAGAGCUGGAUUUUUGGCUUCUGAAAGAGUGUGGAGAGCUUUUGGAAACUGUGGAAGUUUUUAA